UGGGGAAUAUUGCACAAUGGGCGCAAGCCUGAUGCAGCGACGCCGCGUGAGGGAUGACGGCCUUCGGGUUGUAAACCUCUUUCAGCUCCGACGAAGCGCAAGUGACGGUAGGAGCAGAAGAAGCACCGGCCAACUACGUGCCAGCAGCCGCGGUAAUACGUAGGGUGCAAGCGUUGUCCGGAAUUACUGGGCGUAAAGAGCUCGUAGGCGGUUUGUCGCGUCGUCUGUGAAAUUCUGCAGCUUAACUGCAGGCGUGCAGGCGAUACGGGCAGACUUGAGUACGACAGGGGAGACUGGAAUUCCUGGUGUAGCGGUGAAAUGCGCAGAUAUCAGGAGGAACACCGGUGGCGAAGGCGGGUCUCUGGGUAGUAACUGACGCUGAGGAGCGAAAGCGUGGGUAGCGAACAGG
rnacentral:rRNA from 1 species